rnacentral:lncRNA from 1 species
GUUAGGUAUAAUCUUGAGUUUGUAGUCACUAGUGCAUGUACAGGUUGUGCUAGGACGUGUAGUCCAUGGUCUUGGUCUAAGUACGUGUCUAGUUUAGAUAGUUCUAGGAGUCCUGAGUCAUGUACGGGUACUAGUCCUUGCAGGAACAGGUUAGUAGGUGUCCGAGGUUAGUUUGGCUAGUUAGAGUCCGAGUAGGACUUGUGUCAUGUUGGUUAAGGCUGCGUGCAUAUAUAUACN